rnacentral:rRNA from 1 species
UACGGAGGGUGCAAACGUUGCUCGGAAUCAUUGGGCGUAAAGCGCACGUAGGCGGCCUGUUAAGUCGGGUGUGAAAGUCCUGGGCUCAACCCAGGAAGUGCACUCGAAACUGGCGGGCUUGAAUAUGGAAGAGGGUCGCGGAAUUCCCGGUGUAGAGGUGAAAUUCGUAGAUAUCGGGAGGAACACCAGUGGCGAAGGCGGCGACCUGGGCCAAUAUUGACGCUGAGGUGCGAAAGCGUGGGGAGCAAACAGG